rnacentral:hammerhead_ribozyme from 1 species
AUCCAGCUGACGAGUCCCGAAUAGGAUGACACGCGCAUCCUGGAU